AGAGCCCUGAAAUACAGCUGGACAGCAGCGGUCUACAUCACUGCCCCUUCUGCAGAUACAAAGGGUCAAAAUGUGAUAUCGACCAUCACAUUAAAUGCCAUGCCUCGGUUAAAUACAGAGGUCUGCAGAGGAGCUUUCAGGAAGCAGGAAGAGAAGACGGGAG